CUUGGCAGUUGAGAUUCAGACCUUGACAGUUGUAACCGAUAGACUGGGCUGGGGCAAUGCUGAUGAAAGGCAAAUUCCUGAGAGAAAAAUCACCCAGAUUUUUCAGUGCCUUCUCUAGCUUUCUGGAAGUUGUUAUGAGUGGACCUGACUACCUAGAGAGAGUAAUACAGAAGCUCCCUGCCGAUCACAGCUACCUCAUUACCAUGUUCCUCCAAGAUGGCCGCCCCUGAGGAGAAUCAUCAACUGGGCUUUACGGAAGAGAGAAAUCCAAACGACCAUCAGCAACAAAUGAAAGACUGAAGUUGAAAGUUUCAAGAUUGCCAAGAAUGACGAGUUGGACUUGGUCUAGUUACUUCCACAGCAGCAGGAGGAACAUGUGUGUGACUCAGGAUAACUGGGGAAGCCUUGGCUAGGCUUUCCUCAUGUCAACCUACCACUCAAAGGGAGAAAACCUCCUGAUCAGAGGUGCCCAGAACCCAGGAAAUCCAUAAUUUUUGAAUGCUGGCUGAGGUCUGUGACCUCUGACUGAAUGGUUUCCAAGCUCCGAAUUCCUAGGUGAUGUUUUCAUUUGUUCACAGUUGCUGAAGAAGGGAAAGGCUCUCUGAUUUACGUGUAAGCAAAACAAUCUAAACAGUAGGAUAAAAUCAUGUUGGAAUGGAGUUCUGUGUGGAUGCUCCUUUGAACCAAAUCAGUUCCACAACUGACCCUGUCAGGGACAUAUAAAUUUAGCAUUUUGGUGUGGAUACAGAAGACGAGAUUAACACAGAUCAAGUAACAUGGAAAUAAAAAAGGAGACAAUGCUGGAUGAUACAGGGGCAGCAACAAGAGGAGAAAACCCAAGCAUUGGCAAAUGCCUCAUUAUCCAAAGAACACUGAGGUGUGCAGCAAAACUGUGUUGAAUGAACUGUAGAUGGAAAUUCUCUCCUUCCCACCGAGGAGCCGCUGCAG
rnacentral:lncRNA from 1 species